CGCAUCUGUGCAUGCAGCAUAUCAAUAAGCGGAGGAAAAGAAACUAACAAGGAUUCCCUCAGUAACGGCGAGUGAAGCGGGAAGAGCUCAAAUUUGAAAUCUUGAAAGGUCACACCUUUCACGAAUUGUAGUUUAAAGAAGUGUUUUCUGUUACGAUCGUAAUAUAAGUUCUUUGGAAUAGGACAUCACAGAGGGUGAGAAUCCCGUCUAUGAUUGCGAUUUGUAGCUUUGUGAUACACUUUCAAAGAGUCGGGUUGUUUGGGAAUGCAGCCCAAAACGGGAGGUAAAUUUCUUCUAAGGCUAAAUAUUGGCGAGAGACCGAUAGCGAACAAGUACCGUGAGGGAAAGAUGAAAAGAACUUUGAAAAGAGAGUUAAAUAGUACGUGAAAUUGUCAAAGGGAAGCGUUUAACACCAGUGUUGUUUUCUGAAAAUCAACCUCUGUUAGCUUUAUGCAUGUUUGUUUAGACCUAAUCAGCUAUCUUGCAUGUUCUAUUGUUUGCAGUGGUGCACUUUUCAGUUUACAGGUCAACAUCAGUUUUUUUUACCGUAAAAAAGUUAAAGAAAGGUAGCUCAUGGCUCCGGUCGUGAGUGUUAUAGUCUUUUUCCUAUGCGGUAGGAGAGACUGAGGUCUGCAGUGUAGGCUAUUUGGCUAGAUACUCAGGUGCUAUGUGAUACCAUUUCAUAAACAACUUGUUGAUUAUGUUUUGUCUAUUGCAUACUCGCUUGUACUAUCAUACCUACGCUUAGGAUGUUGACGAUCAGCUGAGCGCG
rnacentral:rRNA from 1 species